rnacentral:rRNA from 1 species
GGACUACUCGGGUUUCUAAUCCCGUUUGCUCCCCACGCUUUCGCGCCUCAGCGUCAGGAAAUGCCCAGAGACCCGCCUUCGCCACCGGUGUUCCUCCCGAUCUCUACACAUUUCACCGCUACACCGGGAAUUCCAGUCUCCUCUGCAUCCCUCAAGAACGGCAGUAUCAGCCGACGUGCUUCGGUUGAGCCGAAGUAUUUCACGACUGACUUGCCAUCCCGCCUACGCGCCCUUUACGCCCAGUGAUUCCGAGCAACGCUUGCCCCCUCUGUCUUACCGCGGCGGCUGGCAC